CAUGGUUCGAAAUUGAAAGGCGGCUUCGGCUGUCACUUAUGGAUGGACCCGCGUCGCAUUAGCUAGUUGGUGAGGUAACGGCUCACCAAGGCAACGAUGCGUAGCCGACCUGAGAGGGUGAUCGGCCACACUGGGACUGAGACACGGCCCAGACUCCUACGGGAGGCAGCAGUAGGGAAUCUUCCGCAAUGGACGAAAGUCUGACGGAGCAACGCCGCGUGAGUGAUGAAGGCUUUCGGGUCGUAAAACUCUGUUGUUAGGGAAGAACAAGUGCUAGUUGAAUAAGCUGGCACCUUGACGGUACCUAACCAGAAAGCCACGGCUAACUACGUGCCAGCAGCCGCGGUAAUACGUAGGUGGCAAGCGUUAUCCGGAAUUAUUGGGCGUAAAGCGCGCGCAGGUGGUUUCUUAAGUCUGAUGUGAAAGCCCACGGCUCAACCGUGGAGGGUCAUUGGAAACUGGGAGACUUGAGUGCAGAAGAGGAAAGUGGAAUUCCAUGUGUAGCGGUGAAAUGCGUAGAGAUAUGGAGGAACACCAGUGGCGAAGGCGACUUUCUGGUCUGUAACUGACAC
rnacentral:rRNA from 1 species